GCAAUUUAUAGGAACUGUUAAACAGUAUCCCAUACUAUGGAACACCGAGUCGAAGGACUAUCACAACUUGAAUAAAAAGGAGGUUGCUUGGAAGAGGGUAGUGAAGGAAAUCAAUAAUCCAGACAUACCAGAUGUAAAAACUGCGAAGAAUGAGUGGAAGAAAUUACGUGAUAGUCACCGAGAAUCCCUCAAAAGGAUAAAAACGGAUACAAAAAAUCAUUGGAAAUAUGCAGAGAACCUCGAGUUUCUUUUGCCCCACAUGAGGAACCGUAAAAGAACUUUGAAUUUAUCAGUCAAUUAUCAAAAAACUUUGGCAAGUACUUCAACGGAAGUUACAAGUAAUUUGCCAGUUACAUCAACUCAAAAUACUUUGCACGGUACCUCAACCGAGAGAGAAAGUAUGCCAGGUACUUCAACUCAAUAUACCGAGGUUUUGGAAGAAUCUGAACAUUAUGAAAGCGAAAAUGAUGCAGUUUUUUUGCAACAGUGUGGCAAACGGAAGGCUAACGAUGCAGUAGAGGUUAAGAAAAACAAAGACGCUUUGAAUUUGUUUUUCGACAGUAUGUGCGAGUCAACUAAAAAGCUUCCCGAUUGGAUACAAAGAGAUGUAAAGAAGAAGCUUCUACAAAUUGUAUGUGAAGCAGAGGAAACUAAUGAAACUUAUAUGACCACAGAGUACCGUGAAUGCAACUCGUCAUCCGCCUCGACACCAGUGCCUCAAAACGAAGAUAGUAUAGAUAAUUUGUAAUUUAAGUGACUUUUAGGUAUCUUUUUAAUGAAAUACACAAUAAACAUCGAUA